rnacentral:rRNA from 1 species
UACGAAGGGUGCAAACGUUGCUCGGAAUCAUUGGGCGUAAAGCGCACGUAGGCGGCUUCGCAAGUCGGAUGUGAAAUCCCUCGGCUCAACCGAGGACGUGCAUCCGAAACUGCGAGCUUGAGUACUGAAGAGGAUCGCGGAAUUCCCGGUGUAGAGGUGAAAUUCGUAGAUAUCGGGAGGAACACCAGUGGCGAAGGCGGCGAUCUGGGCAGUUACUGACGCUGAGGUGCGAAAGCGUGGGGAGCAAACAGG